rnacentral:rRNA from 1 species
AUAAGGGCGCACGGUGGAUGCCUUGGCACUAGGAGCCGAUGAAGGACGGGACUAACACCGAUAUGCUUUGGGGAGCUGUACGUAAGCUAUGAUCCAGAGAUUUCCGAAUGGGGGAACCCAGCAUCUUUUAUAGGAUGUUACGUUUGCGUGAAUACAUAGCGCAUUCGAGGUAGACGCAGAGAACUGAAACAUCUAAGUACCUGCAGGAAGAGAAAGAAAAUUCGAUUCCCUGAGUAGCGGCGAGCGAAACGGGAAAAGCCCAAACCAAUGAGCUUGCUCAUUGGGGUUGUAGGACUCCAAUAUGGUAGUUCUUUCAGAUAGUCGAAUGACUUGGAAAAGUCAGUCAAAGAGGGUAAAAACCCCGUAGAUGAAAUUUGGAAGGCACCUAGGAGGAUCCUGAGUACGGCGGAAC